CGCUUUGCUUAUCAACUGGGUCACUUUUAAGUUAGCCGAUCAGAUGUGAGGGUGAGCUCUGGCCUCUUAGAAGCAGGCUCAAAGAGGUCCAGCCUGGGGUAGAAUGGCUAGGAAGCUGCAGCUUGUCUAAGCUGGAAGACCCACAAGGAGCCCAGACUUCUGAUCAGAAGAGAGCUGAGGGUCCCCCAAGUGCCUGGGACAACACUGGAGCCCAUCUGAGCAACCGCUAGCCUCCCUGGAGCCCAGCCCGAGAUAGAUGAGUCAGGAGGGCAGUGGAUGCAAAGUCUGAAGAAAGAAGGUCCCUCCGCCCACCAAGAUCUAUCUCAGCAUAGUACCCCUUCUCUGGGUCAAAAGGAACUAAAACAGACUGGAUAUGGUGGUGCGCGUUUAUAAUCCGGGAGCUUCCGAAGCUGAGGCAGGAGGAUGGAGAGUUCCAAGCCCUGUUUCAAGAAACAAGAAAUGGCCAGGCAUGGUGGUGCGUGCCUUGACUCCAGCACCCAAGAGGUGGAGGCAUGGGGAUCUUUAGGAGUUUGGAGCUAGCCUGGGCUACAUAAUGAGUUCCAGGCCAGCAAAGCCAAAAAGUAAAGCAAACAAAAGCUGGAGGGAUAGCUCAGGGCAUGAACUGCUUGUCCUAAUAACUUGUCUGUAAUUCCCAUGCUGAAACAGUCAGAUCGCUGGGGCCAGUCUGACAGCCCAGGACACUUGUUAAGUUCCUGGCCAGUGAGAGCUUGUCUCACAAAGAAGAGAGAGCGGCUGCCCAAGGAUGACCCCCCCCCCCCAAGGCUGAGGCUGUUCUCUGCCCACCGGCCCUGGUGUGUCCUCAUAUGCAAAUGGCUGGCAUCCAACCUCACACAUACGCACAGGUGUAUAC
rnacentral:lncRNA from 1 species